AUGAGUGGCGAACGGGUGAGUAACACGCUGAGUAACCUGCCCUCUUCUUCUGGAUAACCCUCAUGAAAGGUGGGGCUAAUACGGGGUAUUCCGGGUCUGUCGCAUGGCGGGUUUGGGAAAGAUUGCGCCUUUGGGUGUUUUCGGUGGGGGAUGGGCUCGCGGCCUAUCAGCUUGUUGGUGGGGUGAUGGCCUACCAAGGCGGUGACGGGUAGCCGGCCUGAGAGGGUGGACGGCCACACUGGGACUGAGACACGGCCCAGACUCCUGCGGGAGGCAGCAGUGGGGAAUAUUGCACAAUGGGCGCAAGCCUGAUGC
rnacentral:rRNA from 1 species